rnacentral:tRNA from 1 species
GGGCGGUUGGCGCAGUGGUAGCGCACUUCGUUCACACCGAAGGGGUCGCGGGUUCGAACCCCGCAUCGCCCACCGACA